UGAAAUGAAAUAUGCCCGCGUGUCGAUGAAUUACUUUAGCUACAUGGCUUGUGAGACAAUAUCACAUUUCUCAACAGACCACAUACUGUUCGACAAUGAAGGUGAAAGGGAGGCCAACACUUCAUCGGUCUCGGCGACCCAUUUUGAAAACUCUGAUGCAAACCGUUCCCUGGAUGUGAGUGGACUGCUGUCCAGCUCUCUGACUGCUGACACUGAUGUUCCGCCCAGCUGCAGCAACGCAGUUGACAUACCAUCAUAUCAGGACCGCCUGCUCUGUUGUGGUAAACCUUGUCAGUAUGAGUUAUUCGUUGCUGAUCUGAGACGCAGGCUGAACGUUGCAGAACAAAGUCUGUCAAUUGGAGCAGAA